rnacentral:rRNA from 1 species
UUAAGUUAUUAAGGGCGCACGGUGGAUGCCUUGGCACUAGAAGCCGACGAAGGACGUUACUAACGACGAUAUGCUUUGGGUAGCUGUAAGUAAGCGUUGAUCCAGAGAUUUCCGAAUGGGGGAACCCAGCACGAGUUAUGUCGUGUUAUCGACAAGUGAAUUCAUAGCUUGUCAGAAGGCAGACCCGGAGAACUGAAACAUCUUAGUACCCGGAGGAAGAGAAAGAAAAAUCGAUUCCCUGAGUAGCGGCGAGCGAAACGGGAAGAGCCCAAACCAAUAAGCUUGCUUAUUGGGGUUGUAGGACACUCUAUACGGAGUUACAAAGGAAUAUAUUAGACGAAUCAUCUGGAAAGUUGAAUCAAAGAAGGUAAUAAUCCUGUAGUUGAAAAUAUAUUCUCUCUUGAGUGGAUCCUGAGUACGACGGAGCACGUGAAAUUCCGUCGGAAUCUGGGAGGACCAUCUCCUAAGGCUAAAUACUCUCUAGUGACCGAUAGUGAACCAGUACCGUGAGGGAAAGGUGAAAAGUACCCCGGAAGGGGAGUGAAAGAGAACUUGAAACCGUGUGCUUACAAGUAGUCAGAGCCCGUUAAUGGGUGAUGGCGUGCCUUUUGUAGAAUGAACCGGCGAGUUACGAUCUGAUGCAAGGUUAAGCAGGAGAUGUGGAGCCGUAGCGAAAGCGAGUCUGAAUAGGGCGUUGAGUAUUUGGUCGUAGACCCGAAACCAGGUGAUCUACCCAUGGUCAGGUUGAAGUUCAGGUAACACUGAAUGGAGGACCGAACCGACUUACGUUGAAAAGUGAGCGGAUGAACUGUGGGUAGCGGAGAAAUUCCAAUCGAACUUGGAGAUAGCUGGUUCUCUCCGAAAUAGCUUUAGGGCUAGCCUCAAGUGAUGAUUAUUGGAGGUAGAGCACUGUUUGGACGAGGGGCCCCUCUCGGGUUACCGAAUUCAGACAAACUCCGAAUGCCAAUUAAUUUAACUUGGGAGUCAGAACAUGGGUGAUAAGGUCCGUGUUCGAAAGGGAAACAGCCCAGACCACCAGCUAAGGUCCCAAAAUAUAUGUUAAGUGGAAAAGGAUGUGGCGUUGCCCAGACAACUAGGAUGUUGGCUUAGAAGCAGCCAUCAUUUAAAGAGUGCGUAAUAGCUCACUAGUCGAGUGACACUGCGCCGAAAAUGUACCGGGGCUAAACAUAUUACCGAAGCUGUGGAUUGUCCGUAGGACAAUGGUAGGAGAGCGUUCUAAGGGCGUUGAAGCAUGAUCGCAAGGACAUGUGGAGCGCUUAGAAGUGAGAAUGCCGGUGUGAGUAGCGAAAGACGGGUGAGAAUCCCGUCCACCGAUUGACUAAGGUUUCCAGAGGAAGGCUCGUCCGCUCUGGGUUAGUCGGGUCCUAAGCUGAGGCCGACAGGCGUAGGCGAUGGAUAACAGGUUGAUAUUCCUGUACCACCUAGCAUCGUUUUAAUCGAUGGGGGGACGCAGUAGGAUAGGCGAAGCGUACGAUUGGAUUGUACGUCCAAGCAGUGAGAUUGAGUGUUAGGCAAAUCCGGCACUCUUAAGAUUGAGCUGUGAUGGGGAGAGGAAAUUGUUUCCUCGAGUCGUUGAUUUCACACUGCCGAGAAAAGCCUCUAGAUAGAUAAUAGGUGCCCGUACCGCAAACCGACACAGGUAGUCAAGAUGAGAAUUCUAAGGUGAGCGAGCGAACUCUCGUUAAGGAACUCGGCAAAAUGACCCCGUAACUUCGGGAGAAGGGGUGCUCUUUAGGGUGCAAGCCCAGAAGAGCCGCAGUGAAUAGGCCCAAGCGACUGUUUAUCAAAAACACAGGUCUCUGCUAAACCGUAAGGUGAUGUAUAGGGGCUGACGCCUGCCCGGUGCUGGAAGGUUAAGAGGAGUGGUUAGCUUCUGCGAAGCUACGAAUCGAAGCCCCAGUAAACGGCGGCCGUAACUAUAACGGUCCUAAGGUAGCGAAAUUCCUUGUCGGGUAAGUUCCGACCCGCACGAAAGGCGUAACGAUUUGGGCACUGUCUCAACGAGAGACUCGGUGAAAUCAUAGUACCUGUGAAGAUGCAGGUUACCCGCGACAGGACGGAAAGACCCCGUGGAGCUUUACUGUAGCCUGAUAUUGAAAUUCGGCACAGCUUGUACAGGAUAGGUAGGAGCCUUUGAAACGUGAGCGCUAGCUUACGUGGAGGCGCUGGUGGGAUACUACCCUAGCUGUGUUGGCUUUCUAACCCGCACCACUUAUCGUGGUGGGAGACAGUGUCAGGCGGGCAGUUUGACUGGGGCGGUCGCCUCCUAAAAGGUAACGGAGGCGCUCAAAGGUUCCCUCAGAAUGGUUGGAAAUCAUUCAUAGAGUGUAAAGGCAUAAGGGAGCUUGACUGCGAGACCUACAAGUCGAGCAGGGUCGAAAGACGGACUUAGUGAUCCGGUGGUUCCGCAUGGAAGGGCCAUCGCUCAACGGAUAAAAGCUACCCCGGGGAUAACAGGCUUAUCUCCCCCAAGAGUUCACAUCGACGGGGAGGUUUGGCACCUCGAUGUCGGCUCAUCGCAUCCUGGGGCUGUAGUCGGUCCCAAGGGUUGGGCUGUUCGCCCAUUAAAGCGGUACGCGAGCUGGGUUCAGAACGUCGUGAGACAGUUCGGUCCCUAUCCGUCGUGGGCGUAGGAAAUUUGAGAGGAGCUGUCCUUAGUACGAGAGGACCGGGAUGGACAUACCUCUGGUGUACCAGUUGUCGUGCCAACGGCAUAGCUGGGUAGCUAUGUAUGGACGGGAUAAGUGCUGAAAGCAUCUAAGCAUGAAGCCCCCCUCAAGAUGAGAUUUCCCAACUUCGGUUAUAAGAUCCCUCAAAGAUGAUGAGGUUAAUAGGUUCGAGGUGGAAGCGUGGUGACACGUGGAGCUGACGAAUACUAAUCGAUCGAAGACUUAAUCAA